UGCAGUCGAGCGGGGUGAUGUAGCUUGCUACAUUACCUAGCGGCGGACSGGUGAGUAAUGCUUAGGAAUCUGCCUAUUAGUGGGGGACAACAUUCCGAAAGGAAUGCUAAUACCGCAUACGCCCUACGGGGGAAAGCAGGGGAUCUUCGGACCUUGCGCUAAUAGAUGAGCCCAAGUCAGAUUAGCUAGUUGGUGGGGUAAAGGCCUACCAAGGCGACGAUCUGUAGCGGGUCUGAGAGGAUGAUCCGCCACACUGGGACUGAGACACGGCCCAGACUCCUACGGGAGGCAGCAGUGGGGAAUAUUGGACAAUGGGCGAAAGCCUGAUCCAGCCAUGCCGCGUGUGUGAAGAAGGCCUUUUGGUUGUAAAGCACUUUAAGCGAGGAGGAGGCUACUUGGAUUAAUACUCUAGGAUAGUGGACGUUACUCGCAGAAUAAGCACCGGCUAACUCUGUGCCAGCAGCCGCGGUAAUACAGAGGGUGCGAGCGUUAAUCGGAUUUACUGGGCGUAAAGCGUGCGUAGGCGGCUUUUUAAGUCGGAUGUGAAAUCCCUGAGCUUAACUUAGGAAUUGCAUUCGAUACUGGGAAGCUAGAGUAUGGGAGAGGAUGGUAGAAUUCCAGGUGUAGCGGUGAAAUGCGUAGAGAUCUGGAGGAAUACCGAUGGCGAAGGCAGCCAUCUGGCCUAAUACUGACGCUGAGGUACGAAAGCAUGGGGAGCAAACAGGAUUAGAUACCCUGGUAGUCCAUGCCGUAAACGAUGUCUACUAGCCGUUGGGGCCUUUGAGGCUUUAGUGGCGCAGCUAACGCGAUAAGUAGACCGCCUGGGGAGUACGGUCGCAAGACUAAAACUCAAAUGAAUUGACGGGGGCCCGCACAAGCGGUGGAGCAUGUGGUUUAAUUCGAUGCAACGCGAAGAAC
rnacentral:rRNA from 1 species